GGUUAAGCGACUAAGCGUACACGGUGGAUGCCCUGGCAGUCAGAGGCGAUGAAGGACGUGCUAAUCUGCGAUAAGCGUCGGUAAGGUGAUAUGAACCGUUAUAACCGGCGAUUUCCGAAUGGGGAAACCCAGUGUGAUUCGUCACACUAUCAUUACGUGAAUACAUAGCGUAAUGAAGCGAACCGGGGGAACUGAAACAUCUAAGUACCCCGAGGAAAAGAAAUCAACCGAGAUUCCCCCAGUAGCGGCGAGCGAACGGGGAGCAGCCCAGAGUCUGAAUCAGCUUGUGUGUUAGUGGAACGGUCUGGAAAGUCCGACGGUACAGGGUGAUAGUCCCGUACACCAAAAUGCACAGGUUGUGAACUCGAAGAGUAGGGCGGGACACGUGGUAUCCUGUCUGAAUAUGGGGGGACCAUCCUCCAAGGCUAAAUACUCCUGACUGACCGAUAGUGAACCAGUACCGUGAGGGAAAGGCGAAAAGAACCCCGGCGAGGGGAGUGAAAAAGAACCUGAAACCGUGUACGUACAAGCAGUGGGAGCAUCCUUUUGGGUGUGACUGCGUACCUUUUGUAUAAUGGGUCAGCGACUUAUAUUCUGUAGCAAGGUUAACCGUAUAGGGGAGCCGAAGGGAAACCGAGUCUUAACUGGGCGUUAAGUUGCAGGGUAUAGACCCGAAACCCGGUGAUCUAGCCAUGGGCAGGUUGAAGGUUGGGUAACACUAACUGGAGGACCGAACCGACUAAUGUUGAAAAAUUAGCGGAUGACUUGUGGCUGGGGGUGAAAGGCCAAUCAAACCGGGAGAUAGCUGGUUCUCCCCGAAAGCUAUUUAGGUAGCGCCUCGUGAAUUCAUCUUCGGGGGUAGAGCACUGUUUCGGCUAGGGGGUCAUCCCGACUUACCAACCCGAUGCAAACUGCGAAUACCGAAGAAUGUUAUCACGGGAGACACACGGCGGGUGCUAACGUCCGUCGUGAAGAGGGAAACAACCCAGACCGCCAGCUAAGGUCCCAAAGUCAUGGUUAAGUGGGAAACGAUGUGGGAAGGCACAGACAGCCAGGAUGUUGGCUUAGAAGCAGCCAUCAUUUAAAGAAAGCGUAAUAGCUCACUGGUCGAGUCGGCCUGCGCGGAAGAUGUAACGGGGCUAAACCAUGCACCGAAGCUGCGGCAGCGACACUAUGUGUUGUUGGGUAGGGGAGCGUUCUGUAAGCCGUUGAAGGUGUAUCGUGAGGUAUGCUGGAGGUAUCAGAAGUGCGAAUGCUGACAUAAGUAACGAUAAUGCGGGUGAAAAACCCGCACGCCGGAAGACCAAGGGUUCCUGUCCAACGUUAAUCGGGGCAGGGUGAGUCGACCCCUAAGGCGAGGCCGAAAGGCGUAGUCGAUGGGAAACAGGUUAAUAUUCCUGUACUUGGUGUUACUGCGAAGGGGGGACGGAGAAGGCUAUGUUAGCCGGGCGACGGUUGUCCCGGUUUAAGCAUGUAGGCGGAGGUUCCAGGUAAAUCCGGUACCUUUUUAACGCUGAGGUGUGAUGACGAGGCACUACGGUGCUGAAGUAACAAAUGCCCUGCUUCCAGGAAAAGCCUCUAAGCAUCAGGUAACACAAAAUCGUACCCCAAACCGACACAGGUGGUCAGGUAGAGAAUACCAAGGCGCUUGAGAGAACUCGGGUGAAGGAACUAGGCAAAAUGGUGCCGUAACUUCGGGAGAAGGCACGCUGAUAUGUAGGUGAAGUGAUUUACUCAUGGAGCUGAAAUCAGUCGAAGAUACCAGCUGGCUGCAACUGUUUAUUAAAAACACAGCACUGUGCAAACACGAAAGUGGACGUAUACGGUGUGACGCCUGCCCGGUGCCGGAAGGUUAAUUGAUGGGGUUAUCCGUAAGGAGAAGCUCUUGAUCGAAGCCCCGGUAAACGGCGGCCGUAACUAUAACGGUCCUAAGGUAGCGAAAUUCCUUGUCGGGUAAGUUCCGACCUGCACGAAUGGCGUAAUGAUGGCCAGGCUGUCUCCACCCGAGACUCAGUGAAAUUGAACUCGCUGUGAAGAUGCAGUGUACCCGCGGCAAGACGGAAAGACCCCGUGAACCUUUACUAUAGCUUGACACUGAACACUGGUCCUUGAUGUGUAGGAUAGGUGGGAGGCUUUGAAGUGUGGACGCCAGUCUGCAUGGAGCCAUCCUUGAAAUACCACCCUUUAAUGGCUGGUGUUCUAACGUGGACCCGUAAUCCGGGUUGCGGACAGUGUCUGGUGGGUAGUUUGACUGGGGCGGUCUCCUCCUAAAGAGUAACGGAGGAGCACGAAGGUUAGCUAAUCCUGGUCGGACAUCAGGAGGUUAGUGCAAAGGCAUAAGCUAGCUUGACUGCGAGAGUGACGGCUCGAGCAGGUGCGAAAGCAGGUCUUAGUGAUCCGGUGGUUCUGAAUGGAAGGGCCAUCGCUCAACGGAUAAAAGGUACUCCGGGGAUAACAGGCUGAUACCGCCCAAGAGUUCAUAUCGACGGCGGUGUUUGGCACCUCGAUGUCGGCUCAUCACAUCCUGGGGCUGAAGUAGGUCCCAAGGGUAUGGCUGUUCGCCAUUUAAAGUGGUACGCGAGCUGGGUUUAGAACGUCGUGAGACAGUUCGGUCCCUAUCUGCCGUGGGCGCUGGAGAAUUGAGGGGGGCUGCUCCUAGUACGAGAGGACCGGAGUGGACGCAUCACUGGUGUUCGGGUUGUCAUGCCAAUGGCAUUGCCCGGUAGCUAAAUGCGGAAGAGAUAAGUGCUGAAAGCAUCUAAGCACGAAACUUGCCCCGAGAUGAGUUCUCCCUGAGACUUUAAGUCUCCUGAAGGAACGUUGAAGACGACGACGUUGAUAGGUCGGGUGUGUAAGCGUAGCGAUACGUUGAGCUAACCGAUACUAAUGAACCGUGAGGCUUAACCUU
rnacentral:rRNA from 1 species